GGGCUCGUAGUGAAACGGUUAACACGUAUCCUUCGCAAGGAUAAAGUUCGGGUUCAACUCCCGACGAGUCCA
rnacentral:tRNA from 1 species